CCCAGGUUCACGCCAUUCUCCUGCCUCCCCCUUCCGAGUAGCUGGGACUACAGGCGCCCGCCACCACGCCCGGCUAAUUUUUUGCAAAUUUAGUAGAGACGGGGUUUCACCUCGUUAGCCAGGAUGGUCUCGAUCUCCUGACCUCAUGAUCUGCCCGCCUUGGCCUCUCAAAGUAGGGAUUACAGGCGACCCAUCUGAAUUUUUAGUGCCUUUAUGGAAUUUCUGUACUUUGACCAACCAGAAGAAGGACUAUUUUUGUUAAAGAAUGUUCAUCCGAGCCAUUCCAAACAUGCCAUAGAAGCAACUGACUAUUGAAGGAGACACCCUUGCUUUGACAUUUUAUAACAAUGAUCUAUGUAAUACUUAAGACUCUUUAAAUUUGAGAUAAUAGAAAAUGUAACUCAAACUAGUUUAAACAAUAAAGUGAAUUUAUUGGCUCAUCUACCAGAGGAGUAC
rnacentral:lncRNA from 10 species